ensembl:lncRNA
CUAGAGAACCCCAACUCCAUGCCAGAACACACACAAACACACACACACACACACACAUACACACACUUACCGAAACACACACACUGUUCCAUUGCUGAUCCCAUAGGAUAGAUACACCCAAAUGAUUUAUUACUAGGACCUGGAGACGUGUGUGUGUGUUUUCAAUUGUGUGUACAGUGAGCUCCAAAAGUAUUGGGUGGUGUCCUCCCAUCAGAAACACUCUGAGAGCAGCUUGACAGCACAGGACGGAAGGAGGGAGGGAGAGAGAGAGAGAGAGAGAGAGAGAGAGAGCCGACCAUCUGUGAAUCACAUCAAGGCAGCUGUGGUUAGAGUGGACUGCAGUUAUUUUACGAACGAGAGGCAGAGAGGGGGAUAGAAGUGGAGAGAAGGAGAGGGGAUAGAAGUGGAGAGAAGGAGGGGG